CAAAACUAAUUAGACAUGAACGUUGGUGAGCUGUUCACACUUACUGGAGGCCUAGAGGCUACUUCACCGUCAAAUAUAAAAAGCACUAAUUGAGUACAUUAAUGACAGGCAUCAUUAAGAGGGUACGUCUUGCAAUGUAGAGCAAUAGAAUAGCUAUUACUUUAGCAAACAAUUAUUGCAGAUCAUAUCUUGUUGGAUUUGUUGCAUCUCUACUACAAGGCCAUCAGACAUCCAGGUGACCUGAAAUCGGACAAAGUAUCUCGGACUGAGUAUUUUUUCUUUAAACCAAGCUAGUCUGCUAAAUUUGUUAUUGAUUCUAGUGUUUUAAGUUAAUUUGAUUGCUGGUUUGCUUUAGCUCUUGCCGUUUUUUAUUGCCAGUUGUUGUGAUAGACUCUACUAUUAAGUUAACUGCUCGCGUGACCUCCUAACUUUGCUAGGUUUGACCUGAUCGGUCUAGUCUUCUAAAGCAGAAGAGACUUGAAUCGUCUCAGUUUGUCAAAACACCACAUUCCCGGACUCCCAACAUCACUGCGACAACACGAUCCUGUAGAUACUCGCUCUACAACAUCAGGAGAACACGUCCUCUUCUCACUCAGAAGGAGGUACUGAUUCAGGCUCUUGUCGUCUCCUCCUGGACUACUGUAACUCUCUCCUGCAGGUCUCCUGCUACCACCAUUCCACCUCUGCAGCUCAUCCAGAAUGCAGCAGCUCCACUGGUCUUUAACCUUCCUAAGUUCUCCCUCACUCCUCCACUCCUCCGCUCUCUUCACUGGUACCGGUGGCUCAUCCAGUUCUAAACACUGGUGCUCACGUACCAUGCUGUGAAUGGAUGGGGUCCAGCUUCCAUCCAGGACCUGGUCCAACCCGACAUCCCGACCUCUGACCUCUCCGCUCUGCAUGUGAUAAACUGCUUGUUCCUCCUCACUGAGAGCAAAACACUCGACUAGAUCUCCACUCUUUGCUGUCCUGCUCCUAAAUGGUGGAAGGAGGUCUCUGAAGACAUCAGGACCACAGAGAGCCUUCACAUCUUCAGACUAAAGACACACCUCUUCACACUCUACCUCCACUAACACACUAACUGUAGCACUUACAUUGGACUUGUAACGUCACUCAUCUAUAGCAAAUUGUAAAUUGGCUUAUUUGAGGAAAUUUAACUUUCUUGUUCUUGUUGAGUUUGUACCGCUAUGACUGCACUUAUUGUAAGUCGCUUUGGCUAAAAGCGUCAGCUAAAUUACAUGUAAUGGUCAUAUCAGGGUCAGCUUUUUGCAUAUAAAAGAAACUAAUAUUUGCUGUCCCAGCUACAUGGCUUAGACACUAAUAAUAUAAAAAGGAUUAAUCAUUGAAAGAAAGUAAAAGGUAACAUUCAUGUAGAGAUGAAAAAAAAACAUCUCCACUUGGGGUUUUAUUCUCUUGGAUUAUCUCACUCCGUCAAGCGUCAAGCACGGUACCGCAAUUCAAACUGGAGCUAUUUGUCAAUUAAUCAAUCAGCCAAUUAACCCUGAUAGAUUGCCUGUGUGCACUAUCUGGUUUAAUUAAAGAAGAAGGGCAACCUCAAAAUGUCACAUUAGCAAACAAGCAUGAAAUAAAUAACGUGCGUUUUGACUGGAGCCUGAAUGGGCCCAAAAAAGUAAACCGUCACAAUGCAUAAUAUACUGUCCAGAAAAUGAGUGAGCUUUGGAGGAACGCAGGGUGGAACCCUUUGCAGACUGUCACUCCAUCUCUGGGUUAGUUAAUACAGGACUACAGGCACCUCCAUAAGCAAACACUCUGUCGUUAACAUACAUCCGCUCUUUAAAGACACAUUCCUGAUUGUUGAGUUUUAGUUUAAAUAUGGAAGGAAGUGACACUUUGACCAACUAGAAAAUUCCGCAGAAAUAAGGCUGUGACCUAUACAGAUGUCUGCGCAUGAGUCGGCCACGCAGGCAAGUGAAGGCUAGCCACAACGGCUAGCUAGCAAGCUAAAGACAUGAGCGAUUUCUUCUGGCUGUUUUAGCCACAGGUCCUGGUAUUGCCAGUGCCAUGUUGGCGCUUUUUCUUGCCUGGCUGUAUCACAAGACUCAUCUGUAACCACUUUGUAAAAAAAAUAUAACAAAAAUACUCUAUGACUCACUGAUGAGUGGGGGGGUGAAUUUCCAAUUACUCUUCUCAGGCUCUCCAGUCGGACGUUAGCCGUGCAGCUUUUUUUUCAAGGACGGAGAAGAGAAUGCAAAAAUGUCUCUCGGGAUUUUUUGCCUGCCCUCCGGGCUUUGAUGUAUAACCCCCCCACCCCGCGUGAGCCCACGGUUGCAAUAUGUGUGGCUGGUUUUCCUCGCUCCCUUUCUGUUGUGUCUGUUCUGGUGGAAUGCAAUGUUAUAUCAAACAGGAGCAGACCAGGAAGUCCAAGCAAGUUUGAAACACUUCCGUCAGGCAAAAUGUCCUCGGCAGCCGUGUGAUAUGAACAUGCUUAAUGCAUGCUUUUUGGUCCGUGGAAUACCAUGAGAAAUGCACAUCAGACCCCUGUUGGUGCUAAAACAGGUUCCUCUUUGGAGUUCUCUGCUUGCAUCUCGCUGAAUAAUUGAAGCUUCAAUUGAGCAGUGGGUAAAUGAGGAUACGGGGGUUUUGGCUAACCGCCUGCCCCCCCGUAUGACGGGAGAGCUCCCUGUGAGUUGGCCUCUCGGUCAGUAUUUACAGUCUUUUCAGCACUGACACUUUGAAGUCAAUAAGCCUCUGCAGAUCAACAUUUUCUCCCACACGAUGCCCCAGAUUGAUGAAGCGUCUCAAAAGCUUCAAAUUCAGCUCAUUUGCUCGGCCGGGUGGGCUGCAGUCUUUGCGUUCCUCGAUGCCACUUUGAGGGUGAAACAAAACACACACAUACACUGUGUAUCUGUACUCCAAUCUUUAAUUCCAGGUGUUUAUCCCAGAUCUUGAAUCCAGUAGCCUCCCCACCCCCCUUCUGCUUCUGCCGAAUCCUGCUAUUCAAUUCCGGGCUUGUUUUGUAGCGAACAUCCAGCUGCAUCAUAAUACCUCUUCGUGGCUGAAAACAGUAUGUAUGUCUGGGUGGCUUGUGUAUAUUAGAAAACUGGUCAGAAUGACUGAGAAAGCCCGUCUCGUAGGCUAGUCGCCCCACAAUGGCUGAGGCUGCACCUCUUUAAUGCGGUACUCAAGCUGACAGAUGAGGCUUAUCUCCCACAAGGAGAGAAACUGGCAGAGCCCCUCCCCUUGCCAGGCGAUCCAUACGGGUACAACAGAGGGAGUUUUUCAGGAGUUCAUCAGUUCACAUCACAGAUAAGGCUAUUGAGAUGGAGGGGGGGUGGGGGCUCAACUUACUAUGCAGUCAGCAGUGCUCCAAUCUUAAGACCUUGAAAUUCAUGCUCAACUUCAUGUCAGUACUUUUCCUCCCAAUCAUUUUAUUUCACAGUUACAACCAAAUGUUCCCAAACAUUUUGACUUAGUCUGUUGCAUAUUGUAACAGCUACACAUUUUGAGAUAUACAGCCAGAGCUACACACUCUAUUCAUUAGCAUUUAAACCCCCUUAAAUUGUCGUUAUUUUUUCCCCUCACUUAUAUGAAAUUGAAAACGUAAUUUCCAACCACUGAUAGAGGCCAACUGAAAGAAGCGUCAGCAUGUUAUUAAGUUACUAUCAUCAUUCUUCAGUUUGUACUUCUGAGCCUCAGCCAGUCAGGACGUUUUACAGAAUCAUAAAUUCAUAUUCGCCAUUAAUCUCAAGACCCAAAAAUGCCAUUCUAUUGCACUUUAUCCCAUUCAUGCUUAAGCUUGACUGCUUUUGCCAGCAUUUAUUUUAAUUGUUGCACUAAAUCUCAAGUUACUUCACACCAACAUCCCAAGUCAUUUCACACCAUCUGCUGCUCUAGAGUUUGCCUCUUCCCUCUGUUCUUUUCAUUGGACCACCCCUCAAUCCAUUUGUGGAUUAAACGUCUCCGGGUAUAAAUUAGACUGCUUUGCCUCUGAUGCCACGUGGUGAAUAUAGUAUCAGGUCGCAGGGCUACAAAUCUUUCCUUAAGCAUCGGUGGGGGAAUACUAAAUGUAAACGUCCAGGGACUCCGUGCCACCAAGUCAUUAUUAAAGAGGAAGGCGGUGCUUUAUGUGCCGCAGCAUUAGUGAUUGUUUAUGCCGAAGCAGUGUUAAUUUCGUCGACGAAAACUAUGAUGAAAAUUUUUCGUUAACAAACCUUUUUUCCAUGACUAAGACGAGACUAAGACGUGACGAAAACGAUCUUAAAAUAAAAACUAUGACUAAAUCUAUUCUAACUUUCGUUAACGAGACGAGACGAACAUGUUGGUGGUUGACGAAGUCACGAUACUUUUUCCCCCUAAAUUUGCACGCAGCUGACAGACAGACAGACAAAGUACGGCGGAUAUUAACGCGCCAUGAUGACGUCAUCCACCAACCCAGAACGCUCGCAUCACAUCGGUCCAGCAGUGGUUCUUGUGCACCGACUACGGACCGAGACGACUAUUUUACGCUUCGGGGGCUUUGAAUGUGGCUUCGUUAGUUUAGCUCAGCUGUCUCGGUUUAGCUGCCUGUUUAGCGGAGCUUUCUGCUCUGUUCUCUGGCGACGGCAGGCAGCGUUUCCUCGGCUGGAUGAUGAGACGCUCCGUCACAGGCUUCUCCAAACACGUCUAACAUAAUAAAGUUAUUGCAGGUUCUGAAGCCAAGAAAAUAAUGUAUUGCAAGGAUUGUAGGACGUUAAGGUCUCUUUAGUUGGGACAGUGGAAACAAUAAAGGAGCAUGAAGUGUCAAAAGCAUUGCGAGUAAACAGACAAAGACAACAAAGUGUUGCGUUUAGAUCCCUGGUCCUCAUGAAGUUGUUACACCUUUGCCAAUUUGUUAAAUUGCCUUGCAAAUAAAUGCUUUGCUAUUUGUUCAAAUCCAAAUCCUUUCAUGUGAUGAUGUUUCACACGUCAUUUAUAUCAGCUCACACAAACACUUCAACCAUUUAUUGUUGGCCCGGCUCCUCCGUCACAUUUUACAACCCAUUGUGGCCGCGAGUCAAACCGUUUGCCGACACCUAUAGACCUGUCCUAUAGGAGGGACAUCUAUAGGCCUGUCCUAGGAGGGACAUCUAUAGACCUGUCCUAGGGGGGACAUCUAAUGGACAACCAAGUACUGCAAGCUAGACUAUUAUGCAUCUGUAGACACAACACAGGGGGUCCCUGGGCCUGAGAAGGGAAGAAAAGGAGUUUAAUAUGGCUAUUAAAUGUGACUAAAACUAGACAAAACUAAUUACAUUUUAGUGUAGUUUUCAUCGCUGAAAACUACACUAAAAUGUUCUGAGUUAAACUAAAACAAAGAAGGAUUAAAAUGACUAAAUGUGACUAAAACUAAUAAGCAUUUUUUUGUCUAAAGACUAAGACUAAAUCAAAAAUAGCUGCCAAAAUUAACACUGUGCCGAAGACAAAGAGCAGGAUUGUCUUAUUCAACGAGAGGCCAUUUCCAUUGGUGAUGGUCCGCCCAAAGCAGGAGGUAUUGUUGACCUUGUUGCUGGCGGACGGUCCAAAGUGAAGAUCUGUGUGUAUUCUGGGACCGUGUAACGUCAGAGUAGCAUCUGGCCAUCAGAUACAGUGUAGCAUCAUUUAUGGGGGGGACAGAGCAUGUUAUGCAGAUAGAAGCAGCUGUUACGAAGCUGCAAAAUGAAUCAUCGAACAGUCGACGCAAAGAUGCUCACAAUGAAGCGCAUAUGUUGGUAGAUUGCAGUUUUGUUUGCAAUUUUAAUCGUUUUUCUGCUUCUACAUAAAACUGGUGAAAUGCUGCCAUGUGUGAAUGUGUAAAUCUUUAGAUCAGAGCUGUGAAUUGAGACUGUUUGCUAGAUGUGGUAUUUAUGUAAUAUCCAUGCCUGGGCUGCAGGUGCAUAGGCGGACAGUCAUCACACCAAAACAUUCUGAGCAUAAAUAUGCAUCUGGUGGAGAUCCAUUAAUCAGUGGAUCAAUCACGCACCUUAAACGUGCAGUCAUGUUAAUCUUAUUUGUAGUUUACCAAGGCUGGUUGUCCCCUUAGCGCUUAGCUGUGUCCAGUACGUUUAUCAGCUUUGAGUUUUAAAGAGGAAAAAUGAUUGAGAGCAUGUUCACAUGAUUCAACGUAAAAAAAACUAAAACCAUUUUUCCCUCACACUGUGUGAAUGUACCUACUCGUGUUUCCGUUUUAGCACUGAUCUCUUUAGCCACUCUCCCAAAAAUAAGAGAAGUAUGGUGCACCUCUGCAAAGGCAGUUUUCAGGCCUAAAAAAUGCAUGUAACUCAUUCCUUUGCUUACACCGAGAUUCUGCAAUACUUUUGUUAAGAAGAUCAGCCAUUACACCAUCUUACUCCUGUAGAAUAGAUAAUAACUGCCAGCGUUUGUUUUUUUUAUCUCCCUGUGGUAGGGGUAAAGUUCAUCAAAACUUCACACUUGUGGAGGUGGGCUGUGCAUCUUCAUUGGGAAAGGAGCUAGGAAGUGGGCGGCUAUUCUGGAUGUCUUGUUGAUGUGUUCAUUUCAGUGUUAAUUUUGGCAGCUAUAGUCUUAGUCUUUAGACGAAAAUGGAUAUUAGUUUUAGUCACAUUUAGUUUUAGUCACAUUUAAUAGCCAUAUUAAACUCCUUUUCUUCCCUUCUCAGGCCCAGGGACCCCCUGUGUUGUGUCUACAGAUGCAUAAUAGUCUAGCUUGCAGUACUUGGUUGUCCAUUAGAUGUCCCUCCUAGGACAGGCCUAUAGAUGUCCCUCAUAAGACAGGCCUAUAGAUGUCCCUCCUAUAGGACAGGCCUAUAGAUGUCCCUCCUAUAGGACAGGCCUAUAGAUGUCCCUCCUAUAGGACAGAGCAGAAAUGUCCGACAGUCUUUAAACGGGUCUUCAGCCUGCUAACAGUCAGCUAAACCGAGACAGCUGAGCUAAACUAACGAAGCCGCGUUCAAAGUUGCCGCAGCGUAAAAUAGUCGUCGCUGUCCGUAGUCGGUGCACAAGAACCACCGCUGGGUUGGUGGAUGACGUCAUCAUGACGCGUUAAUAUCCGGCGUACUUUGUCUGUUGUCUGUCAGUUGCGUGCAAAUUUAGGGGGAAAAAGUAUCGUGACUUCGUCAACCACCAACAUGUUCGUCUAGUCUCGUUAACGAAAGUUAGAAUAGAUGUGACACUCGACAGUCAACUCUCCCUGACUCCCAACUUCACUGCGACAACACCAUCCUGUAGAUACUCGCUCUACAACAUCAGGAGAACACGUCCUCUUCUCACUCAGAAGGCAGUGCAGGUACUGAUUCAGGCUCUUGUCGUCUCCUCCUGGACUACUGUAACUCUCUCCUGCAGGUCUCCUGCUACCACCAUUCCACCUCUGCAGCUCAUCCAGAAUGCAGCAGCUCCACUGGUCUUUAACCUUCCUAAGUUCUCCCUCACUCCUCCACUCCUCCGCUCUCUUCACUGGUACCGGUGGCUCAUCCAGUUCUAAACACUGGUGCUCACGUACCGUGCUGUGAAUGGAUGGGGUCCAGCUUCCAUCCAGGACCUGGUCCAACCCGACAUCCCGACCUCUGACCUCUCUGCUCUGCAUGUGAUAAACUGCUUGUUCCUCCUCACUGAGAGCAAAACACUCGACUAGAUCUCCACUCUUUGCUGUCCUGCUCCUAAAUGGUGGAAGGAGGUCUCUGAAGACAUCAGGACCACAGAGAGCCUUCACAUCUUCAGACUAAAGACACACCUCUUCACACUCUACCUCCACUAAAAAGACAAAUUGUAGCACUUAAGUGGCGUUAUAAGUACAAUGCAAUUUGCUACAAAUCGAAAAUAGAAAAUUGCACAUUCUUGUUUCUUGCUCCUCUGAGUUUGUAUCCUUAUGGUUGAAUGCAUUUAUUGUAAGUCACUUUGGAUAAAAGCGUCAGCUAAAUGACAUGUAAUGUAAUUGAAGUUAAGCCACUGUCAUCAUUGCACUGUACAUUCAAUACGAAUUAAUUCCAGCUAAAGGUACAUG
ensembl:lncRNA